UACGAAGGGUGCAAGCGUUGUUCGGAUUUACUGGGCGUAAAGCGCGCGCAGGCGGAUUCUCAAGUCAGAUGUGAAAUUUCGGGGCUCAACCUCGAACGUGCGUCUGAAACUAGGAAUCUAGAGUGUUGGAGGGGGAAGUGGAAUUUCGCAUGUAGGGGUAAAAUCCGUAGAGAUGCGAAGGAACACCAGAGGCGAAGGCGGCUUCCUGGACAACAACUGACGCUGAGGCGCGAAAGCGUGGGUAGCAAACAGG
rnacentral:rRNA from 1 species